GUAAAUUAUAUUCAAGUUUAGGGCAUGUUGCAGCUCUAUAUCUUGCCGUUGCAAGUUGCUUUGCGUUUGAUGUUUGUUCUGGGAUAAAAUAUUGAAUUAUACCUUAAAUUAAUGUUUUGUGAAAUUUAGUUUAAAUAAUUUAAUAGAGAGAUGAGUGCAUAAAGCAUAGGGAUUUUGAAGCUAAAUAUGUUAUAAAAUUUGUCAUUUUAGUGAAUGCAUUCGUUUCUGCUCGUCCUGGUUGUUGCAAGGAGACAUCAGGCAUUGUAAUGGAUGGAUGACGAUGUGUCGCUGGCAAACCUACACUGUGUGCAUUUUCUUGGUGGAUAUCUUGGGCAAAUGUGCAAUAUGACGAGGGAUAUCUUGGGCAAAUAUCUUAUAUAAAUUGGUACAAUUGCUUACCUUAAAUUACUAAAGAAGGAUGAUGUUGUAAGGUUAGUGGAUAUUUAUAGUAGUGAUAAAAUGGGGGUUCCCUAUGAAUAGGAACAAAGUAAGGCUGCCUAAUUAAGUGGAAACAAUAUUGUGCAGUGUAACAAUCUAAAAAUAUGGCGGACUGAAAUCUGUAAAAAUGAUGCAUGUUUAAUUUAAAACAUGCAAAAAUUGCGGCAUAAAUAUAUCACAAAACAUGCUUCUUACAACUACAUGCUAUGUUUAUAGGAAUUUGAAUAAGUUUUUAGUAGGCAUGAUUUAGGAUUUUUGUUUUAUUUUCAUUUAUGAUUUUCUAUAAAUGCCCCAACUAGUUUAUAUCUAAUACGUAUUGUAUAAUAUAUAGAUUGUAAAUUUUUUGAUCUAGAAAAUAAUAGAGUUCUUAUACAACUACAUGCUGUGUUGGGUUGUUAGGGUUGAAUAAGUUUUUAGUAGGCAUGAUUUAGGAUUGUUUUUAUUUAUGAUUUUCUAUAGACUGCCCCCCCCCCCCCUCGUGGUGGAAGGAUAACAGCCUGUGGCCAUUUGUCACUAAUGCUGCACAGUGAUGUAGUCGUAUAAAUAGAUAUAAUAUUGUGCACUUCAGUGGCUUUCUAAUUUUAUUAUCCAAUCAGGUGUGUUACUUUAAAUAGAACUUAUUGUAUGUAAACAAGGUCAAUAGACAACGUUUGGGACAACAUUGCUUUCUUUAACAUAUAGCAUAAUUUGUCUUCGUCAUUCUGUGCACAAUGAAGUAUUGGGUCAUUCCAGAAAACAUCCAUACCCCCCCCCCCACACGGAGGAAAUAGGAAGUUAACCCCCUACCCCCUUCGGAUGCCCUAAUACAUUUACUAUUAUCAGAAACAAUUUUUUGUCCCCUCCCCCUCCGGAUGGCAGAAAUUUCCUCUGUGUGGGGAGUAUGGAUCUAUUCUGGAACGACCCAUUCAAGGCAAAGAAAAUAUGCAAGCAUUAAAUAUUUCCUGCAUUAUUUCUCAAUCCUUGUUCAAUGACAAAAACAUACUUAAAUUAAAUUUGUAAUAUAGGAAAAAUAGAUUUUCUGUAAUAUAUAUUUAUCUGAAACAACCUCAUGCUAUGUACACUUUUGUAAGUUGUCUGUUUGUUUCAAAACUUGCAAAAGUGUACAUUAAAACAAGUAAGACUGAAGAAUCAUCUAAAAUUCUUAAAAAAAAACAAAACAAAAAAAAACACCUCGUGCUAUGUUGAUAGGAAUUUGAAGUUUUUAGUAGGCAUGAUUUAGGAUUUUUGUUUCUAUUCAUGAUUUUCUAUAAAUGGGUGCCCACCUAAUUUUUGAGAUAUGAUAUGAAUUCAUGAUAUCUUUAUCACAUAAAAGAGUGGCAGUGUCAUCACAACAGUAUAAAAACCAAUUACUGUGGGCUCAAUUUUACAAAUACUGUAUAAAUAUACAAUAACAUAACUUAAUUUAUGAGAAUAAAUACAACUAUCAGGAACAACAAGAGAGUGGAGUAGCAAGACUACAAGCAGUGUUACAUUUCAAACAGAUUCUUAGUUUAUAUUGAUAGCAGUAAUGUACCAUCUGUAUAACAUACAGUUGUAAAAUUUGUAACGUCUCUCUGGAGCAGGGGGUGAGCGGAGGUGAGACACUGGGAACGAGGAUGGGCUCAUAUUCGUUCUUGAGAGUUUUUUGUAGGGCAUAUAGACGGGGGGACUCAUAUAUGGGGGGGUAUUCAAAUGUUACAUAUCAAAAUCUAAGUUAGUCCUUUAUGAAUGCAAUAAAACAUUCAAGUAUACUAGCUUUUGUAGUUUUUGUUACAUUUAAUCAAACAGCACAAGUUGUUUUUUUUGGGGGGGUGGGGCACAGUCUUUCUUUAGGUUGUAAAGCGAUGAUUGGGCUAAGAAAAUUUCAAUACGUCAUUGCUGUUGAAAUGACUUAAUUCAUCACUAAUAAUACGAAAGCUUAUGUUGCUCAUAAUAUACCAUCCAGCGUCUAUUUUUGAGAAAAUUGUUGCACAAACCAUGUUCCAAAAACGUCCAGAUUAGUUAGAUUAUUGUUGUCUAAAACAUUGCGCGGCUCGUGAUUUUAGAACUCGUUUUAUGCUUUAACCCAUUGAGUGGCUCCACUUGACAAAUAAAAUCCUGUGGCGUUAGACAGUAAAAUACUAAAGUAGGGUGCAUCUGGGUGCAAUGCAACUUAAAGGGUUAAAUUAACCAAAAAAAGUUCAUACAUUUGUUUGAAAAAAGAUUUUAACACAGUACCAUGCCUGUUUGUAUUUUGAAGUUCCUUGAGUUAAACAUGAUACUGCAUAAAACCCUAGUAGGGAACCACCUCCAGACCAAUUUACACUCACCUGCGACAAAAUAGGGAGGUUGUGUGCUUGAUUUGCACAGUGUAACUCAAGUUGUAAGCAUCUUGCAUGGGACCAUCUGAUGCACAAGACUUUCCUCUUGAUGAGUAAAAUGAUCUGAUAUCAGUCAUUUGAGUUCCUUUGCAGCUUAAGGAGUUAAUCCUAUUUAUCUUAAAGAACAGCAAUUCAACUAUCUGGCUGGCUUGACAAAUAACUAUACACCAACAAUGUGUGCAAAGGCAAUUAAGAGUGUAUCCUUGGAAAAUUUUAUCUGAGAUUAUGCAGAGUUGUUUACAACUUUUUUGUUCAAGCCUAGUGACUUAUUUCAGUGCAUGAAAAUCAUCCCACCUUUCAUCCUGUCCUGACAAACUGGGAUCAUGUAAAUAGCACAUUUAGCCAUUAAGUUGAUUUGCACUCUAAUUUUCCUACUUAUAUUAUUUAACUCUGUCUAACGUCAUACAAUUUUAUUAAGCAGGGGGUGCACUGGCAGUUAAUUAAUGGGUAACUAGACACAUGGGCAGUCUCAUUAUGAAGCAUAAAAUCGUCUAGCGUUGGACAGUAAAAUACUCAAGUAGAGCAUGCAUCAGGGCACAGUACAACCUAAUGGUUAAAUUUGUUUUUUGUAGCAAAAUGGUUUAAGUUUUAUAUCUGAAUUUUUAAAAUUUUUUUUGCUUUGUUUUACAGAUCAUUACUUGAACGUGCUGAUGAAAUAUUGAUUUAUAAAAUAUCAUGUUACCAAGAUGACAUGCCUCGAAGAGCAAUACAUGAGGGAAUACCUCUAUUUCUAAUCAAAUUACAACAAUACACCAAAGACAGUAGUUCUCGGAUGAAAUGAAAGGAUUGAUAAAUGUUCAUGGCCAGCAGUGGAUAUUUGUGACUAUAUAAUAAAUGGAUACAAAGAAACUAUGAUGGAUAAAUAUGGCCCCGUAAUGGAUAUUCAGUUGAUGGACAUACAAAGGUCACAGAAAUGUCUAUUUUCAGGUACUGUUCUUUCUUGUUUGCCUGCGAACAGGCUGUAGAUACUUGUAUCCAGGCCAUUGUUUGUUUGUUUUUUGUUCUGGGUACAAUGAAAUCCGGCAUAAAUCCUGGCGGUCUAAAUGUUCAGUAUAUUUACAAAUUCGAUCUAUUGUCUUUUCAGUAGACUUUGAUAGCUUGAAAGAAAGUUUAUAACGAUGAUUUUCUCUGCAAAAACUGUACUUUCGAAAUUCGUCAGCUUCUGAAUUUGAUAACCGAUCUGAAGAAAAAAAGGAACAUUUGAGUGUAUGGUUAUUGCAUGGUUCUAUAUAUAUUCUAUAUAUACUGCCUUUGUGCACACGCAUAACAAGUGCAGCAAUGCAACAGUUUAGACAGGGUCAUGAGGCAGGAUGUGCACAAGAAAAGCUUUGCC
rnacentral:lncRNA from 1 species